ensembl:lncRNA
CCAACACACUGUCCCUCCGCUCUAGGUCUGGCCCAACACGCUGUCCCUCCCCUCUAGGUCUGGCCCAACACACUGUCCCUCCACUCUAGGUCUGGCCCAACACACUGUCCCUCCGCUCUAGGACUGGCCCAACACACUGUCCCUCUGCUCUAGAUCUGGCCCAGCACGCUGUCCCUCCGCUCUAGGUCUGGCCCAACACACUGUCCCUCCCCUCUAGGUCUGGCCCAACACACUGUCCCUCCACUCUAGGUCUGGCCCAACACACUGUCCCUCCGCUCUAGGUCUGGCCCAACACGUCCCUCCGCUCUAGGUCUGACCCAACACGCUGUCUCCCUCCCCCCAACACACUCUAG